rnacentral:tRNA from 1 species
GGGUCCAUAGCUCAGUUGGGAAAGCACCUGCCUUGCACGCAAGGGGGCAGGGGGUCGACGGUUCGAUCCCGUUCGGGUCCACCA